rnacentral:lncRNA from 1 species
AACCACUCAGUCAUACCACCAGCCCUUUUAUAUUAUUUAUUUUGAGACAGGGUCUUGCUAAGUUGCUUAGAGACUAAGUUGCUGAGGCUGGCUUUGAACUUAUGAUCCUCCUGCCUCAGCCUCCUGAGCCACUGGGAUUACAGGUGUGUGCCACCAAGCCUGGCUUCAUUCUUCUUUUUAAUCAGUUUUCUUUACAACAAAUUUACUACAAAAUGAAUUCAUCUUUAAAUAAGACUUUAUAUAAUUACCGUAAAGUAUUAUUUAUGGUAACCAGUUAUCACUCAUGAUAAAUAAAAGGUGACAUAAAAAAUAAAUACAAUGAAAACAAUGUUCCUAAAUUCUAGCUAGAUUUCCUAUGAAGAAUCUCAGUCUAGUUAGGCAGUUUCACACACCUGUAAUUCUAUCAAUUCAGGAGGUUGAGGCAGGAGGAUGACAAGUUUGAGGCCAGCUUCAUCAACUUAGUGAGCCCCUAAGCAACUUAGUGAGGCCCUAUCUCAAAAUAAAAAUGGGCUAGGGGUAUGGCUCAGUGGUAAAGUGCCCAUGGGUUUAACUCCCUGAACUCCCCCCAACCAAAAAGAAAGAAAAAAUCAGGCUAAGCUGGGUGCAGUGGUGCGCAUCUGUAGUCCUAGCUACACAAGAGACUAAGGCAGGAGGAUACCUCGUGUCCAGGAGUGUAAAACCAGUCUGGGCAACAUAGUGAGACCCUGUCUAAAAAGCAAAGCAAAACAAACAAACAAAACCCCACAAACAGUAAUGAGAGAAAGAAUCUCUAAGACCUACUUUCUCUUAGCUAAAAAAAAGAAAAAAUAGCAUGCGUUAAACUUUAAAAACAUAUCAACACAAAACUCAGAUAUUUUUUGCCUUGAAUUAAUCCAAAGGCAUGACAACUGAAAAAUGAAUAACUUCUUUAAGUGAUUUACUGUUAUUAGACACCUACAUUGACCUUUUAGACCAAAAAUAUUUGCACACUACACUUUGGAGCUCUGGACCCUGGCAGAUGGUAUUCUAGUCAGACCACUCAAGCCUCUUUUGCCUUACUUCCAGUGCCCAGGCUGUCCCCUCCCUUUCUGACUUUGUCUUCUUGCAUUCUCUCUCAGGGCUCUUCAGCCAACACUUCACCACACCUGCCACUCAAUCCGAUCUGCAGAGGCAAAUUUUGUGAGCAUUUUUCUUAAUCUCUGUUUCCCAAGACUCUCUUUGUCUGUAAUGCAGAGAUGUAUAAUAACACUGGCCUCACAGAUGUUGCAAAAAUUAAAUGGUUCAAAGGAGAGUGCCUUGAGCAGUUGCCAUAAUAAGUGCUCAAUAAAUAGUAGCUGUGGUUGUUAGCCAUUAAGUCAUUCAGUCUGACCCAGGAGUGCCAGCUCCUUUCAAACACUCAGUCCUUAAACUACACAUGUUCAUUAUCUCUUACAAAUGCCAGUAAGCUGUUGCUUUACUUAAAUUCCUGUUCAGUGAUGCAAUACCAUUUGGGUUUGCUUUGCACAUCUCAGACCUAAAUUAGCUACCAAAGUCAAGUAGUUCUGAAAGGGAGUGUGAUUGGAGGUCACAUCCUAAUGUUCCCGACUGAGACACUCAUGGCUUUAUGGAAAGACCAUCGAUAUUCUCCCUUGGUGGACUUCUAAGAAGGGAUGUUGUCUUUUGCCCUCAAGGGACCUGAGUCUGAGGUGGUACAUUCACAUGGUAAGUUCAGUUUUCUUUGUGUCUCUUGCCUUUCACACCAGACACUUGGAAGCCAGGCUCAUCCUCUUAUAAAAGGACAUCCAGUUGAGCCAUACAGUAAAGAAGGUAAACAUUCUUUUAAACUAAUUUAUCAAUUUAGCACAGCACAGUGGUGUUGGGUUACUGGGGUCAACAGCCAGCAGUCACAUUCCUCAGUUGUUUGGUAAAAUGCGUUAACAAACAGCCAGGGAAACUCUUUCUGAUUAAUCAUGUUGAUAAGUUUCUUUCUAGUGUGCUACAAGCUCUUUUAAUUUAAUCUGCUUGGACAGCAGCCCAUUGGGGUGAAGUAUCUUGACUUAUCUAAAGA